GGAGGUGACGGGCGGCGGCAGGUGGGGGUCACAGCGGGCGCGGAGUCCCUGCCCUGGCAGCGCGGGCAGCCGGCACAUGUUGCAGCCAGAGCGGCCGGAGCAAGGCGGAGAGAGGCGCAGUCGGCUGGGCAGGGAUGAAAGUCAGGCCAGCUCAGCUCACCGCAAAGGGAUCCUCUCAGGAGCAUUGGGAGGUUAAAUCAGAGCUGGUGUCUCCUUGGUUAUUGGCCUAUGUGCCUAUAAGAAGCUGCCACGGAGUGCUGAAGGACAAAUAUGGGGAGUUUUCUCCUCCAGUAUUCCAUGCUGAUUUCCCUGUAAGCUUUUGGUGUAACUGGACAAUCUGGGCAGGCUCCAGGAAGCACAUCAUCAUUUAUAUCCAGGGAUUUAUCACUAAGGAUGCUUGCAACAAAAACGAGGACAAAAUUCUGUUUGAAGGAGUCUCCUCCCUGGUGGAAAACAGUGUUGUUUAUGCCUGCUGGAAAAAGGAGAUGCAUGUCUUUGCCACCUUUGCUCAGGCUGUCCAUGUUGUGCUGCUGAAGAGGUACUUGCCAAACCAGAGAGAUGCAAGAUUUAAAGGGAAGUACUACAUCUUCCAAGACCGGCAAGGUGCCUCUUCCUCCAAAGAUGACGUGAUUUCUGGAACUUCUGCUUCAAAACUGCCAAAGAAAGGUGGUGGUUUUCAGUCUGGCUGGGUUGAAAACUUUAGAGAUGCACUGGGCUUUGCAACCACACGUGGAAGCACCACUGUGCUAAGCAGUGAACGGAUGCAGGGAAGAGGGACCACUCUGGACACCACGGCUUGGGGAAGUCCUACAGAACUUCUCCCAUAUGAACGUGCAAGCACACAGGCUCUAAAAACAACAGCUCCUUGUGGGCUGGGGUCUGAGCUGCUGGAGGCUCAGGAAGCUCCAGGUAUAGGAACACCUGAGGAAAUAAUCCCCACUGCAGCUCAGGACAUCUGGGGGCAGAAUCCCUCCAUGAGUGAGGGCACUGCUGUGAGUUCUGCUCCUGUGCACAGUCUGCUUUUGGAAACUCCUUUGCUUGGUGCCUUCCAGGGAGCAGAACCUUUUUGGCAGACAGCAGAUGUGAGUCUGGAGAGCAGCCAGCCUGUCCCGAGCCCUACACUGAGGCCAAAAGGUCUGGGCCACCUGCAGCUUACCAUUAAACCAACAGGCACGGGUCGCCUGGCCUUGGCUGCACCCCCUGAGCCUCUGUCCCCUGGCACAGGUCCCACCAGGGACAGCCAGCUUAGCACAGCCAGCCUGGAGAAGGAAGGAAGCCCUGCCUUGCUGAGUGUCCCAGCUGAUGGCCUCACCAAGGACCUGAUGCCCAGCCUGAGGAACCCCUCUGAUGUGGCCACCAGGGACCAUUUGCAGCUACUUCCUGAGAGAAGCCAAAGCAGUCUGGGGCCUUUGUCCAUGCCUAAAGCUGAGCUAGGCACAACCGGCCUCCAGCAUACCAAGCUCAUGGAUAUUUUCUCACUGGGAAGUUUUGGGGGAGCUGUCAGGAGGAGAACAGCACUUCAUCCCACAGCACCAGCGCUAGACGUACCUGCUUUGGCAACAGGGCUGGAGCAUCCUCUCACAACUGUGCCUGCCCUAGGGACAGAAACCAUCCCUGUGCUGGUGACCUCCUCCACAGUGCCUGUCCCUGCAGGCUUUGGCUCUCUGGAUUUAAUUCCUGAAGCACCUCUUCCUCCACAAGUGGAGUCUCUGUCCAUGGUGCCUUUUCCAGCAGCUACUCUGGAUUGGGACCCUGUCAGUCUCAGGCAGAGGGACAUCUCCCCAGCUAGCCCAGGAGGACAGGAGAUGGUCUCCCCUUCACCACCUUGCCAUCCAUCAGUAGCCUCUGAACUGGGCACAGAUGGGUCCUCCAGAUGCUUUGGCCCUGGGAAGCAAAAGUCGGUGCUGGGACAGGGAAGUGAAACCUCAGCCUCUGUGGGCCUGAUGGCCGGGAGUCCCUCCCCUGUCAUUGUCACUGUCCCAGGGCCUGGUGUGAGGCUUGCUCAGCCUCAGGGCCAUGUCACUGGAGGCUCUGGGAUGACACCAGCUUCCCUGCCAGACACCAGAGAGGGGCAUGAGGUGCCUGUGCAGCAUCAGGACAGUGCUCUUAGUGACAAAUCAGCUUCUCUCUCCAGAUUCAGGGGGUUUAAAAAGCAGGGAGCCACAGAAGCUGUGCAAGUGGGUGCAGGACAGGGGACAGCUGCCUCCUUCAGCACCACUCCUGCACACCCUGAUCUGCCUGCAGCUCUGUCAGGAGAAACACUGCCAAGAGAUCAAAAGCCUUGGGAGCCCUCUGGUGUAACCAGAAACACCAAGAUGGCAGAAGGACAGCAAGGGAAACAUGCUGAGGUGUCAGAGCUGCCCCCUCCCUGGGUAACUGAGUACUUUCCCAUCAGGAGCUGCCACCUCAUCUUCCGGGAUGGGUCUGGCCUGUUCUACCUCCCACUGCAUGCUGACAUUAAUGCCAACAUCUGGUGCAACUGGACCAUCUGGGCAGGCCCCCAGAAGCACAUUGUCAUCUAUGUCCAAGGGUUCCAGGGGAACGAUGGCUGUGGCAACAACCAGGACAAGAUCAUCUUCCAGGGGGUCUCGUCAAGCGUGGAAACCAAAGUGGUGUUUGCCUGCCACAACCGAGGCACUCUGGUCUUUGCUGCACGAGCCACUGAGGUCCAGGUGUUGUUUCUGUCAGGGAGUGGUUCCAGCAGCCAUGAGUACAGGUAUUUUAGAGGGCAGUAUUAUGUAUUCAGAGACUCUGAAACUGUGGGCUCUUCAAGUGAUACCAUAGCAGCUCCCCAGGAGCCUGUCCAGGAGACCUCUAAAAAUGAGAGCUGGAGGACAGUAGUGACCAAAGGUUUAUUCUCCAUGCUGACAGCUCCUCCAGUCCCACCAGCUGCACCUGCUGGUGGCAGGAUCCAGCCUGGCAUUGUGAGCCCAGGAGAGGUGGGCCAACAAUCUCCUGAUCUCAUGGAAGAUGGCCAGUCUGGUGCUAACUGGAGUGAGCAUGGUCAGGAUGAAACCAGGCUGGAAAUGACCCUUGAGGACAGUGGCAGCAAGGGCAGAGAAAAUGAAGAUGGCAUGUUGGUGGAGCCAGCUCCAGCUGGGCAAGGCACUGGGGGCAGAGCUGAGCCACCCGCCUUGGAGCUGUCCCCUGGGACAGCCCUGGUCACCAUGGUCCCACGUCACCCAGCUGGUUCCCCUCGCUCAGAGAUGCCUAGCAGCAGUGUAGGUGUCUCUGACACAUCACCUACCCUGGGUCAGGCCAGUGGCAGCCACUCAGAAGUGCCAGCUGCUGCACAUCACACACGGACACCAGAGCUGGCAGAGCGACCAAUGAACACCAGCACAAAACCACCUCUCUACCCCUCUCCUGGUGUGACUGCUGCGGAUGCGAAAUCUCUGGGAGGGAGGACUGAAGAGCUCUUUGAUGUGCUGUUUGAAGUCACUGCUGAAAUCAAACCCAAGGAUUGGAUUCCUGAUGGUGAAAAUGAGUUCCAAAAGGGUCUGCUUGAAUCUCUGAAGAAUCAUAUCCAGAAGAACCUGAAGCUUUCUGCCAAUAGAGUCAGUGAAAUUAAGUUAAAGGAUGUCAAAAGGACAAAGGAUGCCAACCUGCUGCUCACCUUCUGGCUGCACCUGGAGCCAGAGGAGAGGAACGUGUCUCUGCUCGUGCGCUCACAGCUGGAGGAGCUGCUUGGCACCUCGGUGGGUGUGGAGAAGCUGCAGCUUGUUUCACUCUUCGUUGAAGAUGUGAACGAGUGCCAGGCUGGGCUUGACCUCUGUGGGGAGGAGGCAGAGUGCUUCAAUGGCGUGGGCACCUACCUGUGCCGCUGCAAGAAGGACUACGAGGACCAUUCUCCCAUCAAGUCCGGCACGCUCUGCAUCCGCGCUCCCCGAGCAGGGAUCAGCACCUUCCUCCGCCACGCUGACAUGCUGGCGGGGGCAGCCCUGGUGGCCGGCCUGGUGCUGCUGGUGGCCUUUGGUGGUCUCUGCGUCACGGCCCUGUGGGGCCAGGUCCCCGGGAGGAGCCCAAGGCCUGAGGAGGCGGCGGUGAGGGCCGCGGAGGAGCCAGCCAUGGAGGAGCCAGCCAUGGAGCUGCAGGGCCUGGGGGAGCUCCUGCAGCUCGAGCCCUUCCAGCUGAAGCUGCGGGCCAGGCCCCCCGAGUGGCUCUGGAGCGUCCGGGCCCACCCUGGCCAGGCGGGACCGCAGUUGCCAGAGCGGCCUCCCCCGCUCUGAGGGGGGCCGGGCCUCGGAGAGCCGUCCAGGUGCUCCUGCAUUUCCCCAGGUUUCUGCCGCAACCCCUGGCUGUGCCAACCCUUCUGCUGUGUUUUAUGGACCGUGAAUAUCCCACAACAGUGUUCCUCAUGUUGUAACUUAAUUUUUUUAAUGCUUGCUCAGCUUGAGGAACAAAAUGUUUGCUCCACCCUGCUGUAUGCUUGCUGAUUUACCCCUACUCGAGAUCUGCACAGGAAAAUUAAAAACUUGAUUUUUCUUUUAAAGAAAAAAGGAAAUAAGACGCUUUGGUGCUUAUUGUGAAAUUAAAAAUUAUUC
rnacentral:lncRNA from 1 species